UACGUAGGGUGCUAGCGUUGUCCGGAAUCAUUGGGCGUAAAGCGCGUGUAGGCGGUUCGGUAAGUCCGCUGUGAAAGUCGGGGGCUCAACCCUCGAAAGUCGGUGGAUACUGUCGGACUAGAGUGCGGAAGAGGCGAGUGGAAUUCCUGGUGUAGCGGUGAAAUGCGCAGAUAUCAGGAGGAACACCAAUUGCGAAGGCAGCUCGCUGGGACGUUACUGACGCUGAGACGCGAAAGCGUGGGGAGCAAACAGG
rnacentral:rRNA from 1 species